AAAAAUGAAAACAGAAGAUAUAGUAUGUAAGGACAUGGCCAAGCCUGGGUGAAGGGAGCUCAGAGCAGACCACUACAUGUCACACAGCCUAGGCAUGUACAGAAGAUUCACGUGGAGGAGCCACAGAAGCCAGAACAGGAGACCUGAGCACACCACCAGAGCCCUUGCAGAAGGAAGAGUUCCCUUAGACACUUCCUUGCUGGCCUGAGCCCGACUUCUCCAAUCAAAACUUGACUUGCUGAGCAUUCCCCCACACCAGCUUUCUCCUACCUAAUCCAUAAGGCUCUUCCCAGCCCCCUAAUUGGAAAGGCAGAUUUGAGUCAGAGUCUCCUGCCUCCUUGCUCACAAGCAAUAAUAAAGCCUUUCUCUUUUCAAAG